ACGAUGUUCCGCUGUGCCUUGCAGUUGUGGCCAAGAGCAUCUG
rfam:Bacillus amyloliquefaciens FZB42, complete genome.